GUAAACAAUCUUUCCAGUGGCAUACUGGACAACUGACAGCAGCAGCACAGUUGGACAUGAAAGUUUUUGAAGAUUAUAUGCCCACGUCUGUUUGAAAAUGUCCUUCGGGUUGUGCUCUCCCAUAAACUGAAUCAGCAUAUAAAUCUGCAUGCUGUGCAAUGGAUGUAUGUAAUGGAGGAACUGGGAUUGAAUCCAGGAUAAUGGUGGUUACGCCUGGAGGUCAUUGUGGUGUUUGGGCUGGAUUGCAUGAAAGGCAAUGAAGGGCAAUGAAAUGCAAGCAGUCUAUGGAAGGACAAUGUAAACAUUUGAGAGAAGACAGAGGCGAAGAAGGCUGCCAAUAAAUUUAAGCCUGGUUCCUGUGAUUAAUGUCCAUAAUUCCCUGACUGUGAUUAGUGAAAGCUUAUUUUCUAUCCGCGUGCUGAGCUCCUUGCUUUUUAUGAGAUGGUGAUCUUUAGACACCAGGUUGGUUGAGUGGAAAUGUUUUUCUAUUAUUUCUUUUGAAGAAUGAACGUGCUGACAGUAGUAGCAUAAUAAUAUCUUAGUCUUUUAAAUUUG